rnacentral:sRNA from 1 species
GUCAAAUUUCACUGAAGCAACGAAAUGCUUAUGGCUUCCUAACUACGCAUCAGUCCAUCAAAUCGGAAAGAGAAUAAACAGGAAGAAUCGACGACUAAUACAGCAUUACCAGUAUGAGUACAAGUUCACAGCUUACAGCUUUUUGGCUACACGAUUUUUCACAGGGAGAGGUGCAUGCUGGCGUGGAUGCUGGCACUUUGCUCCGGAAGCGCGUUCCGAAUUCCCCGUCUGUCGAGCGGUAAAAGACAGCAGAGCCUUUUCCACUUUCCAUUUCCACCUUCGAGCCUUCACUUCCAUCGGGCCCCCACCUCCUUGGCCCUGAACCCUGAGCCAAUCAUCGUGGAAGGAUUUUCUUAUCUCUAGUUGCAUAUGUCGCGAGUUCGCGCCGUCCGCGGUCCGCAACGUCGUCGAAUCUUCAUGCAUCUAUGCAUGUGCGAGUCCUGAGUUUAGGACUUUAGGUGCAGGCGAUAGACGAUGGAUAUGGGCGAUGGGCCGCUGAUAGCUGAAGUCUGACCUUUCGGCACUGGUGGGCCUGGUGAGUCUCAUGUCUGAUGUUCUAUUUUAUACUGGAUGUCGAGCGCAGAGAGUUGAGUUAGCGAUGUACAUAGCUACGUACGACCGGUAUAUGUAUGUGUAUCACCGACCCGAGAGUUUAUUAUCGGCAGGAAUUUGAAGAAUUGACUCGAAAUACAGCCUCGUCAAUCGAUCUUCUCUGAUAUUCACUCCUCUAAACUUAUUAUUUAAUGCGAUCAUAACGCAUCUAGUUUACACGUUUGUAAAAGGUAGAAUGACA